CCCCUAGACGCUCUAGGCGGCACGCGCGCUACAAUGGGUGGUAGAACGUGUAACUGCUCCCGAAAGGGAGGGUGAACCACGAAUACUUACCCGUGAAUGGGAUAGUUUGUUGCAAUUUUCGGACUUGAACUAGGAAUCCCUUGUAAGAAUGCUCAAGAAUAGCGUGCUGAAUACGUCCCUGCCGUUUGUACACACCGCCCGUCGUUUCUUCCGACUGAUACUCAUUGUGAGUUGCAAGGAUUCUUAUUGAAAAAUUGCUGCGAAUGCUUUGUAUUGGAGGAAGAAAAAGUCGUAACA
rnacentral:rRNA from 1 species